rnacentral:rRNA from 1 species
UACGUAGGGUGCGAGCGUUGUCCGGAAUUAUUGGGCGUAAAGGGCUCGUAGGCGGUUUGUCGCGUCGGGAGUGAAAACCCAGGGCUUAACCCUGGGCUGGCUUUCGAUACGGGCAGACUAGAGGUAUGCAGGGGAGAACGGAAUUCCUGGUGUAGCGGUGAAAUGCGCAGAUAUCAGGAGGAACACCGGUGGCGAAGGCGGCACCCUGGACCAACACUGACACUGAGGAGCGAAAGCCAGGGGAGCAAACGGG